AUUGAACGCUGGCGGCAGGCCUAACACAUGCAAGUCGAGCGGAUGAAGGGAGCUUGCUCCUGGAUUCAGCGGCGGACGGGUGAGUAAUGCCUAGGAAUCUGCCUGGUAGUGGGGGAUAACGUCCGGAAACGGGCGCUAAUACCGCAUACGUCCUGAGGGAGAAAGUGGGGGAUCUUCGGACCUCACGCUAUCAGAUGAGCCUAGGUCGGAUUAGCUAGUUGGUGGGGUAAAGGCCUACCAAGGCGACGAUCCGUAACUGGUCUGAGAGGAUGAUCAGUCACCCCGGAACUGAGAACCCGUCCCGACUCCUACGGGAGGCAGCAGUGGGGAAUAUUGGACAAUGGGCGAAAGCCUGAUCCAGCCAUGCCGCGUGUGUGAAGAAGGUCUUCGGAUUGUAAAGCACUUUAAGUUGGGAGGAAGGGCAGUAAGUUAAUACCUUGCUGUUUUGACGUUACCAACAGAAUAAGCACCGGCUAACUUCGUG
rnacentral:rRNA from 1 species